AAUGCAUGGAUCUGGGAGACAGUGUAAUGCAUGCUGAUCUAUGAGGCUGGGAGGCAGUGUAAUGCAUGCUGAUCUAUGAGGCUGGGAGACAGUGUAAUGCAUGCUGAUCUAUGAGGCUGGGAGACAGUGUAAUGCAUGCUGAUCUAUGAGGCUGGGAGGCAGUGUAAUGCAUGCUGAUCUAUGAGGCUGGGAGGCAGUGUAAUGCAUGCUGAUCUAUGAGGCUGGGAGACAGUGUAAUGCAUGCUGAUCUAUGAGGCUGGGAGACAGUGUAAUGCAUGCUGAUCUAUGAGGCUGGGAGACAGUGUAAUGCAUGCUGAUCUGUGAGGCUGGGAGACAGUGUAAUGCAUUGUGAGCUCCUAUGAGGCUGC